rnacentral:rRNA from 1 species
AGUCGAACGGUGCUAGCAAUAGCAUAGUGGCGCACGGGUGCGUAACACGUAACUAACCUACCCAUUACUGGGGGAUAGCCCGCCGAAAGGCGGAUUAAUACCGCAUAACACAUGUACCCGGCAUCGGGUGUUUGUUAAAGAUUUAUUGGUAAUGGAUGGGGUUGCGGGUCAUUAGCUAGUUGGUUGGGUAACGGCUGACCAAGGCGACGAUGACUAGGGGAGCUGAGAGGCUGGUCCCCCACACGGGCACUGAGAUACGGGCCCGACUCCUACGGGAGGCAGCAGUAGGGAAUAUUGGGCAAUGGGCGAGAGCCUGACCCAGCCAUGCCGCGUGCAGGAAGAAGGCUUUCUGAGUCGUAAACUGCUUUUGACAGGGAAGAAUAAGCACUACGUGUAGUGUGAUGACGGUACCUGCAGAAUAAGCACCGGCUAACUCCGUGCCAGCAGCCGCGGUAAUACGGAGGGUGCGAGCGUUGUCCGGAUUUAUUGGGUUUAAAGGGUGCGUAGGCGGCCAUUUAAGUCCGGGGUGAAAGCCCGUUGCUUAACAACGGAACUGCCCUGGAUACUGAGUGGCUUGAGUACAGACGAGGUUGGCGGAAUGGACCGAGUAGCGGUGAAAUGCAUAGAUACGGUCCAGAACCCCGAUUGCGAAGGCAGCUGACUAGGCUGUUACUGACGCUGAGGCACGACAGCGUGGGGAGCGAACAGGAUUAGAUACCCUGGUAGUCCACGCCGUAAACGAUGGAUACUCGCUGCGGGCUAAAGGUUGUCCGUGGCUUAGGGAAACCGAUAAGUAUCCCACCUGGGGAGUACGCCGGCAACGGUGAAACUCAAAGGAAUUGAC